UACAGAGGUCUCGAGCGUUGUUCGGAUUCAUUGGGCGUAAAGGGUGCGUAGGUGGCGUGGUAAGUCUGGUGUGAAAUCCCGGGGCUCAACCCCGGAACUGCACUGGAUACUGCCAUGCUUGAGUACUGGAGAGGAGAUUGGAAUUUACGGUGUAGCAGUGAAAUGCGUAGAUAUCGUAAGGAAGACCAGUGGCGAAGGCGAAUCUCUGGACAGUUACUGACACUGAGGCACGAAGGCCAGGGGAGCAAACGGGG
rnacentral:rRNA from 1 species